UACAGAGGUGGCAAGCGUUGCUCGGUAUCACUGGGCUUAAAGGGCGCGUAGGCGGUGCGGUACGGUUUCGGUGAAAUCCCUCGGCCCAACCGAGGAACAGCCGGAGCUACGGCCGGACUAGACGGCAUCAGGGGACAGUGGAACUCCCGGUGGAGCGGUGAAAUGCGUAGAUAUCGGGAGGAACGCCGGUGGCGAAAGCGACUGUCUGGGGUGCCUGUGACGCUGAGGCGCGAAGGUCAGGGGAGCAAACGGG
rnacentral:rRNA from 1 species